rnacentral:rRNA from 1 species
AGCAGCAGCCGCGGUAAUACAGAGGGUGCGAGCGUUAAUCGGAUUUACUGGGCGUAAAGCGUGCGUAGGCGGCUUUUUAAGUCGGAUGUGAAAUCCCUGAGCUUAACUUAGGAAUUGCAUUCGAUACUGGGAAGCUAGAGUAUGGGAGAGGAUGGUAGAAUUCCAGGUGUAGCGGUGAAAUGCGUAGAGAUCUGGAGGAAUACCGAUGGCGAAGGCAGCCAUCUGGCCUAAUACUGACGCUGAGGUACGAAAGCAUGGGGAGCAAACAGGAUUAGAUACCCCAGUAGUCCCUGUCUCUUAUAA